AGCUCUAACCUGCCCUUCACUCACCAGGACUCCUCAGCUCAGCUUCUCAAAAUGAGGCUCCCUGCUCAGCUCCUGGGGCUGCUGCUCCUCUGGAUCUCUGGAAGCAGUGGGGAUAUUGUGAUGACCCAGACCCCUCUCUCUGAGCCCUUCACCCCUGGACAGUCAGCCUCCAUCUCCUGCAAGUCCAGUCAGAGUCUCCUUCACAAUAAUGGAAACAUGUAUUUGCACUGGGUGGUGCACAAGCCAGGCCAAUCUCCACGGGGUCUAAUAUAUGUUGUUUCCAACCAGUAUACUGGGAUCCCAGACAGGUUCAGUGGCAGUGGGUCAGGGACAGAUUUCACACUGAGAAUCAGAAGGGUGGAUCCUGAUGAUGCUGGAAUAUAUUACUGUGUGCAAGCUACACAUUAUCCUCCCACAUUGGUGCAACCCCAACAAAAACCUCCCUUCCUGGGUGGCCCAGCUGCCACAUGAGCUGCUGGUCUGGGCAGCAGCUCAGCAAAUUCUCUGGCCUGUGAGAGGAAGGUGCUGGGAACUCAGAGAAUAGGUGCAGCUGAGGGCUGUGGACCAUGACUGCCUGGGCCACAGCUCAGGCCACACCCAUGAGUGGCCCUGUCAGCUGCAGCAGCCUGGCCUGGCAUGUGGAAGACAAGCAGAGAGGUGUCCAGGGACCUUCUGAAUGAGCAGACAGGAUGAGUGUGAACACUGCAGAGGGAGGAGAACCUGCCUUGGGCAGGACUUGGCCAAGUUAGUGAAGAGAUGAAAUGAAAUGCCAGAGGUCCCUCCAAAAGCUGCUCUGUGUGAAAUUCAGAUUCAAACCAAAUAAAACAAACAAACAAAAGAAACAGAAA